rnacentral:rRNA from 1 species
GUGGGGAAUCUUCCGCAAUGGACGAAAGUCUGACGGAGCAACGCCGCGUGAGUGAUGAAGGUCUUCGGAUUGUAAAGCUCUGUUAAUCGGGACGAAAGAGCCUAGUGUGAAUAAUGCUAGGAAGUGACGGUACCGGAAUAGAAAGCCACGGCUAACUACGUGCCAGCAGCCGCGGUAAUACGUAGGUGGCAAGCGUUGUCCGGAAUUAUUGGGCGUAAAGCGCGCGCAGGCGGAUCUGCCAGUCUGUCUUAAAAGUUCGGGGCUUAACCCCGUGAUGGGAUGGAAACUACAGAUCUAGAGUAUCGGAGAGGAAAGUGGAAUUCCUAGUGUAGCGGUGAAAUGCGUAGAUAUUAGGAAGAACACCAGUGGCGAAGGCGACUUUCUGGACGUAAACUGACGCUGAGGCGCGAAAGCCAGGGGAGCGAACGGGAUUAGAAACCCCAGUAGUCC